AGGUGUCCACUCCCCCUUCACUCUGCCUGCUGUGUCUGAGAAUAGAAACGACAGAGACAGUGAAGUUACAGAGGAUGAGGCAGUGCUGACAGUGUGUCCACAGUGAGCUGGGUGUCAGUACUGAGUGGAGGAUCUGUCACCAUCCCAUGUUUCUAUGGUGACAGAUAUGAAACACAUGUGAAAUACUGGUGCAAACAGUAUAAUGUGAGUUCAUGUACUCCCAUAGUACACACUGACUCUCCACAGGAGGGUAAAGUGUCAAUCAGAGAUGAUCCUGACCAGCGAGUCUUCACUGUGACCAUCAACAAUCUGACAGCUGGGGACUCUGGUUAUAACUCAUGUGGUGUGAAGAUCUUUGGAGAUGUAGAUGUUGGAGAUUGGGUUUACCUUUCAAUUACUGAUGGUGUGUCCACAGUGAAACGGGUGUCUAUACACAGAGGAGGAUCUGUCACCAUCCCAUGUUUCUAUGAUGACAGAUAUAAAACUCGUGUGAAAUACUGGUGCAGAGGGUAUAAUGUGAGUUCAUGUACUCCCAUAGUACACAGUGACUCUCCACAGGAGGGUAAAUUGUCAAUCAGAGAUGAUCCUGACCAGCGAGUCUUCACUGUGACCAUCAACAAUCUGACAGCUGGGGACUCUGGUAGCUACUGGUGUCAUGUGGAGAUCAGUGGAGGUUCAAAUGUUGGAGAUUAGGUUUAUCU